AUUGAACGCUGGCGGCAUGCCUUACACAUGCAAGUCGAACGGCAGCAUAGAGAGCUUGCUCUCUGAUGGCGAGUGGCGAACGGGUGAGUAAAGCAUCGGAACGUACCGUGUAGUGGGGGAUAACGUAGCGAAAGUUACGCUAAUACCGCAUACGUACUGAGGUAGAAAGCAGGGGAUCGUAAGACCUUGCGCUAUACGAGCGGCCGAUGUCAGAUUAGCUAGUUGGUAGGGUAAAGGCCUACCAAGGCGACGAUCUGUAGCGGGUCUGAGAGGAUGAUCCGCCACACUGGGACUGAGACACGGCCCAGACUCCUACGGGAGGCAGCAGUGGGGAAUUAUGGACAAUGGGGGCAACCCUGAGCCAGCCAUGCCGCGUGAGUGAAGAAGGCCUUCGGGUUGUAAAGCUCUUUCGGCCGGGAAGAAAUCGCACAGGCUAAUACCCUGUGUGGAUGACGGUACCGGCAUAAGAAGCACCGGCUAACUACGUGCCAGCCGCCGCGGUAA
rnacentral:rRNA from 1 species